AACGAACGCUGGCGGCAUGCUUAACACAUGCAAGUCGAACGAGACCUUCGGGUCUUGUGGCGCACGGGUGCGUAACGCGUGGGAACCUGCCCUUAGGUUCGCAAUAAUUCACCGAAAGGGAUGCUAAUGCCGGCUAAUGUCUUCGGACCAAAGAUUUAUCGCCUUUGGAUGGGCCCGCGUGGGAUUAGCUAGUUGGUAGGGUAAAAGCCUACCAAGGCGACGUUACAUAGUUGGUCUGAGAGGAUGAUCAGCCACACUGGGGCUGAGACACGGCCCAGACUCCUACGCAAGGCAGCAGUGGGGAAUAGUGGACAAGGGGCGAAAGCCUGAUCCAGCAAUGCCGCGUAAGUGAUGAAGGCCGUAGGGUUGUAAAGCUCUUUUACCCGGGAUGAUAAUGACAGUACCGGGAGAAUAAGCUCCGGCUAACUCCGUG
rnacentral:rRNA from 1 species